rnacentral:rRNA from 1 species
CACGUGUUACAAUGGCAGGUACAGAGGGGUGCUACCGGGUGACCGGAUGCCGAUCUCGAAAACCUGUCCCAGUUCGGACUGGAGUCUGCAACCCGACUCCACGAAGUUGGAUUCGCUAGUAAUCGCGCAUCAGCCAUGGCGCGGUGAAUACGUUCCCGGGCCUUGUACACACCGCCCGUCAAGCCAUGGGAGCCGGGGGCGCCUGAAGUCCGGGACCGCGAGGACCGGCCUAGGGCGAAACUGGUGACUGGGGCUAAGUCGUAACAAGGUACC